UAUGUCAUAACGACAUUUAAACCAAGCAUCGUAAUCAAAAUUGUGGCAAGUAAUUUUAAUACAAAAACCAAGUUCAAAUAAAUUUCAUAAUGUGUGACCGUAUGGGUAUAAUCAAUCAAUUACAAUCUAUUAUGUCAACAAUUCAAUGUAAUUGCAGUGGCUAUUCUGCCCCUUGCUGUGCCCCCAAAUGUGCACCCUCGUGCUGCAACGGAAGCGGAUCAUUAGUCACAGUUUACAGUCAAGUAGCACAUAUCCAGUGACAAUAGAUUCAUACACAUGCAAUACUCGCUGUAGGCCAGCCUCCGCAACCGAUAGCGGCAUUCGACAAAGCAACAAUUGCAGUCGGCCAUCACGGUGCUACUUGUGUACAAAAAUUCUGAUAUUCUGUACAUUAUAAAACCAUUUUAAGAAAUUACUGGUACUUAUAACAAAUUGAAUUGUAAAAUAAUUAUUAUUAUUAAAUAAAAUACAUGGAUAGUGAAUAUUGCUUGCUAUCUAAAUUCAGUAGAAGAAAAAAUUGGGUAAUUAUUAUUAGAUUUUUUUAUAUUUAUCAAACAAAACGUAGACACUUUUAUUGUUACCUAAACCAUUUAUUUACAAUUUUUUUUAC